rnacentral:rRNA from 1 species
GGGUCUUGUACACACCGCCCGUCACACCACGGGAGUUGGAGACGCCCGAAGCCGAUUAUCUAACCUUUUGGAAGAAGUCGUCGAAGGUGGAAUCAAUAACUGGGGUGAAGUCGUAACAAGGUAGCCGUAUCGGAAGGUGCGGCUGGAUCACCUCCUUUCUAAGGAGA